UAUUUUAAUGCUUUGCUAAGUUAAGAAGCAAAUUCCGUCCUUUCUAAGAAGUUUCUAGGAGGAAGGAAGCUAUGUGUAGAUUCUUGUUAUGUAACAGAAGUCCUUUUAGUCAUUCCAGCCUUCAAGAGUAGAAAUCCACAACGCAUAUUUGGCACCAGAAUAGGUUUAAAAUGUUGACGUAAUCCACUCUUAGGAAUGGCUGCCAACAAUCAUCUGUUUUGUGUUUCAAGCAGAAAUAACUUAUGGGAAUAACUUUGAGAAAAAAAGUUUUUAUUACAUAAAGAGAAGUAAACAUAUUUUGUAAAAUAUAGUUUGUUGGGGCUAGGAAGGAGAUGGUUAUGUGAAUCAGGACGAAUUCUUUGAUCAAUACAUGAAACUGUCUUUAGAGUAUGAUGAUACCUUGGUAACCAAUUCAACGACUAUAAUUAUUGAGGAAUAAUCUAUAUGUAGUUGAAAUACAGCUGGAAGAGUCCAUUACUACACAUUGUGUCUUCCAUAAAUAAAUAAAUGCUCAAUCUA
rnacentral:lncRNA from 1 species